rnacentral:rRNA from 1 species
GGCGUCGGAUGCGUUUUAAAUAUUAUGCCACUGCAUAAUUGAGAUUAUUGUGGCCUACGGUAUUCUGACCGUGCAAAGGUAGCAUAAUCAUUAGUCUUUUAAUUGAAGGCUUGUAUGAAUGGUUUGACGAAGUAUAGUCUGUCUCUGUGUAAUAUGUAGAAUUUAACUUUUGAGUCAAAAGGCUUAGAUGUUAAUAAAGGACGAGAAGACCCUAUAGAGUUUUAUAUAAUUUAUAGGUAACUUUAAUUAGUAGUGGUAAUUUUUAUUUAUAAAUUGUAUUGGGUUGGGGUGACUUAAAGAUAAAAUAAACUCUUUAUUUAUAGGAACAUUGAUUUAUGAAUGAUUGAUCCAUUAAUAAUGAUUAUAAGAAAAAAUUACCUUAGGGAUAACAGCGUAAUUUUUCUCGAGAGUUCUUAUCGACAGAAAAGUUUGCGACCUCGAUGUUGGACUAAGAAAAUGGUUUGAUGUAGCAGUUAAAUUAAUAAGUCUGUUCGACUUUUAAAUUCUUACGUGAUCUGAUUUCAGACCGG